rnacentral:rRNA from 1 species
ACUCCUACGGGAGGCAGCAGUGGGGAAUAUUGCACAAUGGGGGGAAACCCUGAUGCAGCCAUGCCGCGUGUGUGAAGAAGGCCUUCGGGUUGUAAAGCACUUUCAGUAGGGAGGAAGGUAGUGUAGUUAACACCUGCAUUAUUUGACGUUACCUACAGAAGAAGCACCGGCUAACUCCGUGCCAGCAGCCGCGGUAAUACGGAGGGUGCGAGCGUUAAUCGGAAUUACUGGGCGUAAAGCGCAUGCAGGCGGCCUGUUAAGUCAGAUGUGAAAGCCCGGGGCUUAACCUCGGAAUUGCAUUUGAAACUGGCAGGCUAGAGUCUUGUAGAGGGGGGUAGAAUUUCAGGUGUAGCGGUGAAAUGCGUAGAGAUCUGAAGGAAUACCAGUGGCGAAGGCGGCCCCCUGGACAAAGACUGACGCUCAGAUGCGAAAGCGUGGGGAGCAAAACAGGAUUAGAUACCCUGGUAGGAUAGCG